rnacentral:lncRNA from 1 species
AAUUGCUUCCCAAAUUGAAGCCCUCACUCUCUCAUUCCCCAAAUUGCUUCCCAAAUCUGGGCAAAGAUCUUAGCUCUUUGAUUAAUGGAGCUGUGAGUAAAUGAGUGGGAAAAUCUAAUUGUGAGCAAAGUACAUUUUGCUGUUUACAAUUUUCCAAUUUUCUUCCUCCUCAAGUGAGACCUAAUUUUCUACUCUGCAUUUUGCUCUUUAUGGAUGCUUUAUGUUUUCACGUUGAUUAAUUUCAUGGAUCAACUUACUUAAUUGACAUAUGUGACAAUAGCUGACAUGGUUGAAUUGGGAGUUGGAGAGGUUGGAAAGAUUUUAGUUAAAUAUAUCUAGUUAAAUAUUGAGUUUUCAGUAAUAAAUAGAAGACCACAAUUGAUUUUAGGUUAGCUUACUGAUAUUUCUCCUACUCGUCCAAGGUAAAUCUCUUCUUUCUUUCUAUAUUUGACAUCUCUUUGUUUGGUUGGUUGUAGCUAUGAAGUUUGCAUCUUGGGUUUCUUUUAUAAUCCGAUGAUCUCUGAAGUUUGAAGUAGGUGUACCAUACUUCUCUAAACAAGUUGUUUAAGAUCUUUAGUAGAGCUUGACUUACACCCUCUUGCCUAGCAGCGUAGUAACAGCUAGUAUGAAAAGUAACAUUCGACCCCAAGUAUUAAAACCAAUAUAAAAAUAGAAAUGUAUGGUACCCAAGUAGACAAGUUCAAAAGGCUUUACUUGCAUGAUCCAUAAAGAAAUCAAAAUGAUAUCGCGUGUAGUGAGAGAGGAAGGGUUUUCAACUUGCCAAAUUAUAAAUUAGAUCAAACAUUUGAAAUCUAGAAUAUGCAAAUCCAAUAGCUUUAACAGCAACACAAUACCUGUGACAUAUUAUGAAAGGUCUAACCAUCACUAAAAUCCAUCCAUGGGAAGCAGUUUUAGGAAGAUAAUAAACAACAAACAGGCAAUGCCAACUAAAGAAUGAAAGAAAGAAAAACAAAUUUUAUAGUAUAACUUUCUUCAGCGGAAAGAAGAACAAAUAAAUUGUCAUCCGUUGAAAUCCAUCAGAAACAAGGUUUGGCAUUUAAUAAUGAAUAAUUUGCUCUCAGCUUGUUCUUAUCACUGGAAAAAUCAAGUAGUAUAUUACCGGACAAGACAAAACAUUAUGAAUGGGCCUGAAUCAAUAUUGACAAAACAGCCUGAUAUGAAAUUAAAAGGUUAUGUUUGGGAUUCGGGUUAAUAAAUAACAACUCGUGAAAGCAAAAUAGUUUAUGAAAAUUAUGUCAAGGCCUUUGCUUUCUGUUGUCUCUCGUCUCCCUUCUAAGUUAUAGUAUCUCAUCCCCUUCUUAUUACAUUCUUUGUCGUUUUCUCCUUCGUUUGUGUUAAUAUUACUUUGUUGCUCGAAUUCUAAUUUGUGUUCAGUGGUUAUAAAUACAUUCUGUGUUUGUGUAAAUAACUAAUAUGGAGUAUAGUGGUUCCAUGGGAUACUGCAUGAUAAUUUACAUUGGAUAUUCCUAUUGAUGAAGCAAAAUUCAAGUACAGCGGCUCUCUUUUGAAAAAAUACAAGAAGAAUAGUAAUAAAUCACACAUCCAGGGAUUUAAUUUGAUAAAACUAAACCUGGACUAACUAUAUCACAAUAGAUAUGCAACACAAGUACGUAGGUUUUUGGUAGCAGAAAGAAGUAGAAUACUUUAGGGACAUCACUUUCUUCUGUUUCAGAACUAAUGAAAUGCAUUGUAAUACAAUGCUAUUGCCUCUUGCUUCAUCUACUAAUAAAUUGGAGAACGAUAAAAGCAACGUAUGAAUCCUAUACUAGCCCGAAUCCUAUACUAGCCCUGCCUCUCCCAAAAAAACUUGCACUUUUGGUACAAUAAAAAACAGCAGAAAAUUACAAGAACUAACAGUGGUACGUAGAGCCAUAAUGACCCUAAAAUGGUUUAUUAGAUUUGCCUCACUAGAAAAUUACACAAUGUGAAUAGUUAUCUUUAAUUCAUUUGUAUAAGGACAGCAGGAAAGCUAAUUACUCUCAAAUGGAAUAAAGAUCAGGCUACUAUACCUCGAGUUUCUUCAACAUAAAAAUAGUUUCUUCUUGAGUAGAAUCUACAGCAAAGGGAGUCGUAAUACGUCCAAGUACUCCUCUAGUUACUUCUCUAGUUACACCUCUAGUGGUAACAAGGACGUGUCUCUUCAAAAUAAUAACAAACCAGAAGUUUAGGCCAGUAAGGAAUGAAACUAAAUUCAGAGCUAAUGAACAGGACUGUUAUGAUUCUAGGUAAUUCAACAAAAGAAAAAAUGGUAUAAACCAUUACUGGAAGUAAACUCCAGGAAAAAGAACUAAUAUUGGCACCAAAUCAAGCUCAAAAUAAAAUGUGAUAACAUGGGUGAAUGCUGGCCUACCUUGAAUGAGGAUUUCUAUUGAAUUGUCUGCAUAUAUCAUUUCUAUUUCAACUUUAAGACGCGAAUAAAAUGACAAAUGAAAUUUGUAAAAUUAAACUUGCAUGUUAGAACUAGCCAUACAAGUUUCUUUUACUGACACAAAAAAAAGAACAAAAAAGAAAUCUAGAUAUUAUUGGAGUACACUUUAGAGAAGAAUAUAAGUAAUUAUUGACUUGUCUAUCUGAUUCAAGUCAUUUCAGGGGUUCUUUUAUUAUAUCAGUUUCCUAGUUUGCUUAAAACUUGAGAGUUAUCCCACCAUUAUCUAUUUAUUACCAAGAACACUAGCCUUGGUUUCACAUGAUCUGCCUUGGGCUUUAAGUAGCUAUAAAUACAUGGCCUUUAUCAUAGAAAAUUUAUCUCUUACUUCAGUUAUUACUCAGUUCAAUUGUUGCUGUGAUUUUGUUUUCAUAAUUUCACUUGCAUACCGUUCCAGCUCUUUUGGUAGAAAAUUUUUUCUUUCUUCAUACAACAUGAAUUUUCUGGCGUUCCUUCCAGUUAAAACAGACUAUAUCGAGCCUUAUUUUGGUCUAAUACUAAUUAUUUGUUUCUUAAAUAAUCUCUUUCCUUCCUUUCAUCUAAGGAGUGGAUUCAAGAUAAAUUCAGCAUGUUAUAUUUGGCAGAAAGCUCAAGGACCAAUUUAUUUGUGAAAGAAAGUUCAAAGCGAUGGUCUGUCAUAACCGAUAAGAACAAUAUUUAGUAAUUAGUCAAGGCCUCUUAGUUCCUCUGUAUUAUGAAUUUGUCUUCACUAAAGAAAGUUCUCAAAAUUAAAAGUUAGCAUGAAAAAUUUACAAGUUUGGCCCAAAAGGAAAAGACCAAAUAGCUUAAUUUUUUUGGAUGGAGGUGAUAUUCAGGGAAACUCGUGUACACCUCGACUAGUUCAUCGAGUCUCUGCUACCUUCCACCACAAGAAAAUUACAAGAACCUCAUUGAUUGUUUGGAAUUCUCCUGCCACAGAAUAUGUUCUACUUCGUUCUAAAUGAAGAAUCGAGUUGUGCAAAAGUUUACCGGA